rnacentral:tRNA from 1 species
GGGGUUAUGGCUCAGUGAUAGAGCGCUUGCCUAGCAUGCAUGAGGCACUGGGUUCAAAUCUCAGUACUACA